rnacentral:sRNA from 1 species
UCAUGCUAGCGAGACUUUACUGUUCUUGCCUCUGACACUACCAGGAGACACACUCUCUCAGGCAUCUUCUGUGGCCCUUAUGAUCCUUCCGAUGCCAUCUUCUACAGUCUUCCCUGAACCCGAGGUGUGAAAGUGUUUUGUAAAUGUAGCUAUUGGGACUGGGCUUAAGAGUACCACACCCUCUUUAGAGUUGUUGGUCAGGGAUGUCCACUAUUGUCCUUGGUUGCCCACACGCAGGAGGAAGUUAUGUCCCUAUUGCUGGAGACACCGUGUACCUCAGAAACAGAUGCUUCAGGCCGCUGAGCUGGAUUUGACCUCAAAGCCUCCUUCUUAAGGACUUGCUUUUAUGGUACCAGAAGGUGCUAUGUAAGCCUCCAAAGUAGAGAGCCUUUGCAAUCACUACAGAAAGUUUCUCUGGAUCACCUUGCUGUAGAUAACUAACCGGUCACGGAGGUCAUGGAGAGAAUGGGAACAAAGUCGACUGCCCUCAUGACAUUCAAAUCAGUGGGCAAUCAUUAAGUGUAUCUGUUUCCUGGUUUACUUAGGUUCUAAAGCAAACAUCUAAGUCUCUAUGAACAACAUUCAAGUCAAUGUCACUUUUUGCACCUCUGCACCUCUGCACUUGUCUCUCCUUGGCUUUCUGGAAGACUGUUUCACCUGAUUUCCUCAGGACCAUCUUGAUGAUCAACGUAGAAUGGAAAUGUAUGAGGAAAUGCCUGAACAUGUUUCCAAAAUGUGAUAUGUCAUCAUAUCACUGUCUGGGUAAUGAAAACACUGUGUUCUAAACUACACAUUUAUGUCAACAUUUUCUAACACAAACUCUUGAGUUUCAAAUUAUCAUCGCGCAUUGGCACACUUAUAUCUUUAUGGAUGUUUCAAUCAUGGCUUUGGAGAAAGGAAUCAAAAGAAAUGGAAUCUUUAGAAGUUAUUCACGAAGAAGUACUAUGCUUGUUUAUGAACAUAGAAAUGAAGAAACUGAAGAAUACAUUAAGUCCAGGGCAUCCUUUGAAGAAGGAGCGCUAUGUAUUGGGAUUCAGAUCCUAAAUUGAAGUCUUGGGUCAAUUUGGAGUUGAUACUUGUGAACAGUGAGAAAGAGAAUGAUCCAGUUUCAGUCUUUGCAUUUGGACACCCAGUUUGAUCAUAAUGAGCUGUGACCAGCCCGAUGCCAUGGUUUUCCCAUAUGGAUGGCUGUACCUUCGGUGUGAGACAAAGUGAACCCUUCCUGCCUUAAGAUGCUUUGAUCAAAGCUUUGCAGUAGCAUAAGACAUGGAGCUAAUACAUCCAUGUAAUGAUGGGACACUCCAACUCGUAGUUUUGUUUAAGAUUGUUAACUACAUGUUCUAUAAACACAUGCACAGUGAGUUGAAGAAUAAGCCAGAGCUACAACCAGCGCUGUGUAAUUCAGUACAGAGCUGUCAUCUAUCAUGCUAUUAGCUUGAUAAGCCACUUAAGAGAAACAUGUAUUUCAUGAUUACAAUAACAGGAAGAAUCCAAACCAGACAAUUAUAUAGGGCUAAGGAGUGUAUUGGUGGUUUUAAAGCUGCAUGCAGUAGGGUAAAUUGAAAGUAAACAAUCCAUCAUCAUAAAAUGUAAGUUGGAAUGGAUCACUAAGUUCUAAAGAUGUGGUACAUUUGUGCUUGUGGCAAAGAAUAAUAUUUAUACAUCUCAAGCGUCAUUAAAUGAGUGGAUCUUUGUUAAGUAUUAUUGAUGUUAUACCCUAAAAGUAAUGAAACAAGAAGUAACAAAGGCUUGGAAAAAUACCACAUGUUCCCUUUAUGUGACCCCUAUACGGAUUCUGGCUUCUAAGGUCCAUAAGUGUAUGUUUAUGUAGGGAUCUUGAGAGGGAAUCAUAGCAGGGAAGGAAAUUGUUUUAAGAAAGUGGGGUAAAGGAGUCAAUAGACUCCAUUAGACAUGACAGUAAAGAAGGGUUCCUGAAGUGGGUGGGGGGAGUGCAAGGAGGACUGUAGGCAUGGGAAAAAGUUUUAAGGGAGAGGAGGAUCAACUAAAUUAAGCAUCAGUGUGAAACGCCAGAAGCAAACCAGGUACUUUGUAGAUAAUUAAUCUAUUACGGCUAAUUAGAGCAGCAAAUCAAACCAGCAGGCAAGCA